UCAAAAUUCUAAGUGCUCACCUCUCUACUAGUAAGUUAACUUUGUUAAAAAGGUUCAAAAGGAAUAGUGUUUAUGUUCAGUGGCAUGUAGAAAGGAAAAAGA